AUUUUGUACAAUGGGGGCAACCCUGAUCCAGCCAUCCCGCGUGUGCGAUGAAGGCCUUNGGGUUGNANAGCACUUUUGGCAGGGANAAAAACGCUCUGGUUAAUAGCUGGAGCUGCUGACGGUACCUGCAGUAUAAGCACCGGCUAACUACGUGCCAGCAGCCGCGGUAAUACGUAGGGUGCAAGCGUUAAUCGGAAUUACUUGUCUUAAAUGGUGCGGAGGAGGUUUGGCAAGAAGGAUGUGAAAUCCCGGGGCUUAAACUCGGAAAUGCAUUCGUAAAUGCGAGGCUAGAGUAUGACAGAGGGGGGUAGAAUUCCGCGUGUAGCAGUGAAAUGCGUAGAGAUGCGGAGGAAUACCGAUGGCGAAGGCAGCCCCCUGGGAUAAUACUGACGCUCAGGCACGAAAGCGUGGGGAGCAAAC
rnacentral:rRNA from 1 species